UACAGAGGUCUCAAGCGUUGUUCGGAUUCAUUGGGCGUAAAGGGUGCGUAGGUGGCGCUGUAAGUCAGGCGUGAAAUUUCGGAGCUUAACUCCGAAACUGCAUUUGAUACUGCGGUGCUUGAGGACUGGAGAGGAGACUGGAAUUACGGUGUAGCAGUGAAAUGCGUAGAGAUCGUAAGGAAGACCAGUGGCGAAGGCGGGUCUCUGGACAGUUCCUGACACUGAGGCACGAAGGCCAGGGGGAGCAAACGGGG
rnacentral:rRNA from 1 species